rnacentral:rRNA from 1 species
GAUGAACGCUAGCGGCAGGCUUAACACAUGCAAGUCGAGGGGCAGCACGGACUUCGGUCUGGUGGCGACCGGCAAACGGGUGCGGAACACGUACACAAUCUACCUUUAUCUGGGGUAUAGCCCGAAGAAAUUCGGAUUAAUCCCCCAUAAUAUAUUAGAGUGGCAUCACUUCGAUAUUAAAACUCCGGUGGAUAAAGAUGAGUGUGCGUCCCAUUAGCUAGUUGGUAGGGUAACGGCCUACCAAGGCAACGAUGGGUAGCUGGUGUGAGAGCGCGACCCGCCAAACGGGCACUGAGACACGGGCCCGACUCCUACGGGAGGCAGCAGUGAGGAAUAUUGGUCAAUGGACGCAAGUCUGAACCAGCCAUGCCGCGUGAAGGAUGAAGGCCUUCUGGGUUGUAAACUUCUUUUAUUGGGGAAGAAAAUUACGGUUUCUACUGUAACCGACGGUACCCAAGGAAUAAGCACCGGCUAACUCCGUGCCAGCAGCCGCCGUAA